rnacentral:rRNA from 1 species
CCUACGGGAGGCAGCAGUGGGGAAUAUUGGGCAAUGGGCGCAAGCCUGACCCAGCAACGCCGCGUGAAGGAAGAAGGCCCUCGGGUUGUAAACUUCUUUUGUCAGGGACGAAGAAAGUGACGGUACCUGACGAAUGAGCCACGGCUAACUACGUGCCAGCAGCCGCGGUAAUACGUAGGUGGCAAGCGUUAUCCGGAUUUACUGGGUGUAAAGGGUGCGUAGGCGGAAUGCCAAGUCAGCGGUAAAAUCGCGGGGCUCAACCUCGCUCCGCCGUUGAAACUGGGGUUCUUGAGUGGGCGAGAAGUAUGCGGAAUGCGUGGUGUAGCGGUGAAAUGCAUAGAUAUCACGCAGAACUCCGAUGGCGAAGGCAGAAUACCGGAGCCCAACUGACGCUGAAGCGCGAAAGCGUGGGUAUCGAACAGGAUUAGAUACCCGUGUAGUC